GACGAACGCUGGCGGCGUGCUUAACACAUGCAAGUCGAACGGAAAGGCCCUGCUUUUGUGGGGUGCUCGAGUGGCGAACGGGUGAGUAACACGUGAGUAACCUGCCCUUGACUUUGGGAUAACUUCAGGAAACUGGGGCUAAUACCGGAUAGGAGCUCCUGCUGCAUGGUGGGGGUUGGAAAGUUUCGGCGGUUGGGGAUGGACUCGCGGCUUAUCAGCUUGUUGGUGGGGUAGUGGCUUACCAAGGCUUUGACGGGUAGCCGGCCUGAGAGGGUGACCGGCCAAAUUGGGACUGAGGUACGGCCCAGACUCCUACGGGAGGCAGAAGGGGGGAAUAUUGCACAAUGGGCGGAAGCCUGAUGCAGCAACGCCGCGUGCGGGAUGACGGCCUUCGGGUUGGAAACCGCUUUCGCCUGUGACGAAGCGUGAGUGACGGUAAUGGGUAAAGAAGCACCGGCUAACUACGUG
rnacentral:rRNA from 1 species